rnacentral:ncRNA from 1 species
UAAAAAUUUAUGAUUUUGAAAAUUUAUUUUUAAUUUAUUUUAUAUGCAAAUUUUAGUGUUAAUUUUUAAUUAUUUUAAUAAUAAAAAUAAAUUUAGCAGUAAAUAAAAUUAAAAAUUUAAGAAAUUAAGAUUUAGAAAUAUUAAAAUUAAUAACAAAUUUUGUGCCAGCAGUUGCGGUUAUACAAAAAUUAAUAUGAAUUUUUUUAGUUAUAAUUAAUAAUUUUUAUUUUAAAUUAAAUAUUAAAUUAUUAAGUGAAAUUUUAAUUUAAUUAAAAUUUAUAUUAUAUUUAUGAUUUAAUAAAUUUAAGUGUAAACUAGGAUUAGAUACCCUAUUAUUAUAAAUUUAAAUUAUAUACUAAAAUAGUAAAUAAAUAAUUAUUGAAACUUAAAUAAUUUGGCGGUAUUUUAGUUCAUUUAGAGGAAUCUGUUUAAUAAUUGAUAUUCCACGAAUAAAUUUACUUAUUUUUAAUAUUUUGUAUAUCGUUGUUAAAAAAAUAUUUUAAAAUAAAAAUAAUAUUUUAUAAUUAAAAAAAAAAAUUAAUUCAAAUCAAGAUGCAGAUUAUAAAUAAGAAUAUAAUGGAUUACAAUAAAAUUAUUUAAAAUGGAUUUUUUUUUUGUAAUAUUAAAAUAAAAAUGGAUUUAAAUGUAAUUUUAUUUAAUUUGGUAAAAUGAUUUAAAAUUAAAAUAUGUACAUAUUGCCCGUCGCUUUCAUUUUAAAAUUGGAAUAAGUCGUAACAAAGUAGAGGUACUGGAAAGUGUUUCUAGAAAGA